UACGAAGGGGGCUAGCGUUGCUCGGAAUUACUGGGCGUAAAGGGAGCGUAGGCGGGUUAUCAAGUUGGGGGUGAAAGCCCGGGGCUCAACCUCGGAAUUGCCUUCAAAACUGAUAACCUGGAGUAUGGAAGAGGUAAGUGGAACUCCGAGAGUAGAGGUGAAAUUCGUAGAUAUUCGGAAGAACACCAGUGGCGAAGGCGACUUACUGGUCCAUUACUGACGCUGAGGCUCGAAAGCGUGGGGAGCAAACAGG
rnacentral:rRNA from 1 species